rnacentral:miRNA from 1 species
GGAGGAUUGCUUGAGCCCAGGAGGUCAAGACUGCAGUGAGCUGUGAUCAUACCACUGCACUCCAGCCUGGGUGACAGAGCAAGACUCUGUCUCA